UAAAACCAAUGUUCAGUGAUCAGUUCCUUCUGUGUCAUUAUCUUCUAAUUUAUGAUUCUGUCUUAUUUCAUCAUUUACAACAGCACUAAUUAGCUUACAGACUCAACGUACCUGCUGCUUCAGUGCUCCAAAAACUGAGGUUCUGCAUGAUCUACAGAUAUGGAAGGAGAAGUCAGCUGUGUGACUUUUGAAACGCCUCGGAUUCUGAUUGGUCGGUGGCGACGCUGCCGUUCAGCUCGCCCAGUCCCGUUUGCUCCUGGAUGUCGGUCAUCUCCCCGACGAUGAAGGUCGGCUCGCCUACUUUGCUGUUGGCCGAGCCGCUGUCCGGCUGCUUGGCCGCCUGGUUGGUCAGGGUGGGUUCUUCAUCCAGCCGGCUGGAGAUGGACCAGUAGAGGAUGACCACGAUCUCAAAGUCCUCCUUCUCCAGCUGAGACUGCGACAUGUCCCAGAAGGGCGAGUGCACAUCAAUCUCAUGGGAGAUCACCAGCGGCGAGACCAGGAAGAGGCGAUCAUCACCUGUCUCAAAGCCCACGCUAAUGUCUGUCUGGUCCAGAGGGAUGAACUCGCCUGAAAGAGAUGGAUCAGACGUCACAGAAACAAGAGUCCUUCUCCUCUGUGUUAGUCUUACCCUCCUGAGUCUGUUUGGACUUGAUGAGCUUGGCCCUCAUGUUGGCCCCUACGAUGUGGGAGCUCCGCAGGUCGCCCACCCUGAACAUCAGACACAGCUUGUCGUCUCUCAGAGAGAUGACGGCGUGUUUGGAGAACACCAGCGUCUCCGCUCGUUUGUUGGGCUGUGAGAUCUUCACGAACAUACAGCCGACCUGGACGGAGAGAAGGGAGGAGGAGAGCUGUGAUAACCGUCAGAGCAGAGUCAUUACAGCAGCGUUUAUUAUGAACACAAAAAGUACAGAUGUUAAAAUGCACCGUGAGUGCUGAAUACAAACAAAUGAAGUCUGUGUUUUUCCUGUUUUGGUUGUUAAAACAGUAUUGGCAUCUAAAUUAACCUUGCACUCAAUCAUUUUUAAUGUGCAAAGCAAACAGCCCACAGUUCCAUCAGCUGCUAUUAACAUGGCAUGUUUCCAGCUUGUGAACAUGAAUAAACAUGACUCUGCCCGGA